GGUGACUUGGCCAGUAUCUGAACCGAGAUGGACCUCCUGGGAGGCACAGCAAAGGCUGUCAAACUUACAGGAGAACAUCUGAGUGAGUAUGAAUCAUAGAAUGGCCUGGGUUGAAAAGGACCACAAUGAUCAUCGAGUUUGAACCCCCCUGCUACGUGCAGGGCCGCCAACCACCAGACCAGGCUGCCCAGAAUGUAUGUAUUGGCAAAGGACCAGAGGUGAUGUCAGUUCUGCUACUAGCGCAGCUGUUGGUGGCACAGGAUGCAAUGAAUGUGAAUCGCGUGAAGAUUCACUCAGCUUCUUGGAGGGUUUAUGAAGCUACAACUGAAAGCUGUGCUCAAAUAUUGUUUGAACCUCGCUUUUUUCUCCACAAGAUGCUGCAGUAUUCUACUACAAUGCUCAGAAUAAUGUUAUUCAUUUUCAUUAUCUUACUAGAACCUCACAUUCCACUUAUUUCAUACAUGAUAGCUGUGACUGCACAAGAAGACAUUCACGUUGACUCAUUCAUAACAAUAUCUAAAGGGCUACACUUAAUUAGUAUUCAUUAGGUAAGGGAAUUUUAAGCUGUGCUUUCUAAUAUACCCUCCUGUGGAUUUGCAGAAAUGAAAUUUCCUACAUUACUGGGUUGCCCAACUGCCGGAAUCUUUGAAAGCUUCUAAGCAUCUUCGUUCAUCAAAAUGAUUGUAGAUAACUCAAUAAACUGGCACCUCCUAAUUCAAUAGUUCUUCCACAUAUUUCAGAGUAAUUCUGAUUCCACACUUUUUUUUCCUGUGAUAAAUAUUACAAUUAUCUUAGUAAGACUAUUCCUGUCUCUCCCAUCAAGAAAGGCAUUUAUUUUGGAAGGGUGCUGAUAUACAAAAGGGGUCAAUGAAAUCAAGGCUUAACAUACUGCAGAGCUUUGAGUCUUCCAGUUAGUACCCUUUCAUAGCGGAAGAAAAAUCAGUUUGUUUUAACUUUUUUCCUCUUUUAAAAUUUCUAAUCUAAUUUCAAAACUUCAUAAUUGCUUGAAAGUGAAACCCUAAGGCUGAGGUUCUGUUGCUAUAUCUGUACCACAAACAGCACUGACAAAAGUAUUAAUAGUCAAGAUGAAAACAUGAUAAACUGCCUAUGUAAUACACAGAAACCUCCUUGGAUGCUUGACUGAAAAAGAAAUGUUGCACUUGAUGCACACAUACCUUUGUAUCCCAGAAUGGCUAUGGUAAUUGUUAACAGGACACACAGAAUGUAUAGUAAGAUGAUAGAAAACUUCAGUGCCCAGUUAUUUUUACACUUGGUACAUUGAGUCCCCUCCUGAAUACCAAACCUCUUGUAGCCAAAGGACUGCACCUCCUCCUCUUCUGCAAAAUCGUCUUUCAUCUUGGCGCCGGGGCGGCUCGGAUAGGACGCACGGGGCGCGGCGGGGGCUGGCUGCCUACUGUCGGGCCAUGCCGGGGGCCGGCCGCGCCCUGCCCGCUGCCGCUGCCCCUGCCGCUGCCGCUGCCGCCCGCCGCGGCUCCUCUCGCCGCCAGCACCGAGCGGCCCGGCCCGGCCCCGCCGAGCAGCGGCCCGGCCCCGCCUCCCUCCCUCCGCCCCGGGGAAGGGGCCGCGGCCGGGGCCGGGCCGUGGGGGCGGGCUCGGGGCCCCGCCUGAGGCUGGGAUGGCGGCGGGACGGGAUGGGGCUCGCUCGUCGCCCGUCGGUGAUGAGCAGGCAUCCCGGAUGGGAUGCGGUGUCCCUCCUUGACCUCCCUGCGCGUUUUGGCCUCCUAAGUGCCCGAAUGCCUCGUUGGUACCGAAGUGAGAAAUCCCGAACCGCGGGUGCGUACCCAUCAGGUGGGACGUGCGGCGCUCAGCCUCAAACCAUCCUACUGGAUUCAAAGGGAUCCCGCUCAGUGCGUGGCCUGAAGAAUAUGUGUAAAUAUUUGUGGGAUUAGGGAUGUACAGGCUGGUUGUCUUUUAUUUCUCUCCUUCUGGAUGUUGCCAGGAAUAAUGCAGCAUUUCCAGGCUCCCGUUUUCUUGAAAGGCGCACAAAGAUUUGCUGCAAACCUGCCCUUACUUUGGCAAUUGAAGGUGGCAAUACAGGUUUGUGAUCCCGCUCUAAUCCGUAACAUCAGUGCUGAUGAAGGAGAGCUCAUGCACCGUAUGCCACUUCAUUCUUGGGAUGAGCAAAGCAGUGCAGGCGCCAGAGAGGCUUUCCCACUGCAGAAAGGAGACGUGCGUGAUUUGGCCUCUGCAGUGCAGCUGGAGGUAUCCCAUCCUGCUGCAUGGGGCGAUGCUGAAAGAAGGGAUGGUGCUAUACGGUCUUUUCAGCCAUUUAGUGGCUCUGAUGGGAUCACAGCAUCCCAGCAGAGUAGUAGUGCGAUAUCACGGCAUUGGUUUAACACCAGGUCAAAAAGUACUAUAAACCUAUCGGGUAGGGUCUCUCCUGAGCAAGGAAUGGGGGAGUAUAUUCAUCAAAUGUAACCAGCGCAGAACAAAAAUUAAAGCCAGGAUUUAGAAAUCUGAAUUCCUUCGUUUCUUUCUGAUUGGGUUAGCAACCUCUUGAGCAAGUUUUUCACUACUCAUUCUCUUCCAGCUCACUACCACCAAAGAUGCCUGCACACCAGCUGCAGGAGCCAUUUGCUACUUUAAAGCAGGGCUCAGGUAUCAAAGAGACAUGACUCAGCUUUUCACUGACACUCCAGCAGUUGACUGGAAUAUCCGUUUUUGGUGCAAGCCAUGAAUAAAACUACUAAAUCUGAGUAAAGUCAUCAGGUAAUUGAGGAAGUCCUGCAGUAGAGUGUUGGAUUAAACCAACAGCACUCACAAUAUUUAUAGAACUGACUAAUACUUGGUCAGUUCUACCAUUCAUUUUGGAUCCUAAGUCAACUUACAGUUUUCUUGAAGAAUCAAUAUUGUUCAGUUUCCCAAACUAAAAACCUACCCUGAAUCUGAUCCAAAGCCCGUGGAUACAUACCCAAGAUACAUAUUUCUUCUUCCAAGAAGAAAUCUUUUCAUUAAUUAUCAUGCACUGAAUGAAGAACAGUAAUGAAACCCCACUUCUCUAGAGGAAAACUAUCCGAGCUUUCCUCUACACUAUACAGUGCUGAAGGAAUGCAAAGAAAGAAUUACCAAAAUCUACGAUAUCACAAGAUGCACAAGGAGCAGGAGUGGGUAGGAAUUUAGAAAAUUCACCAGAAGCAGUUGCUGAUAACGCUUUCAACUCUUCGGAGAGUAACCUUAGUGAACUGGCAGAUAGCAACCAAACAGUGAAGAGACCUAUGGGUCUGUGUCUUAUGAACUGCUGUAUCAGGGAGAGAUGUACUCCUUACUUGUCGAAAGAAAAAAUGAUGGAUAUUUAGAAUCCAUAAGAAAGUAUGAUUAAUA
rnacentral:lncRNA from 1 species